UAAGAAACAUCGGCCUAAACACUGGCCCUAACACCCUGCUCCUCAUUGGCAUACUCCUCCUCAACAGUUAUAUCUUCUUUGUCAAGCAAAACAUCGUCCUUCACAUCCUUGAAUGGGUCAAAAAGACCCAAGUCAAGGUCCUUGGUUUAGAACCUGACUUGCCAAACGGCCUUAUGAAAGCCCUUUUCAUGUUGCUCCACGACCUCCUUCUUGAACACCA
rnacentral:lncRNA from 1 species